AGCGAGUCAAUACAUCUGUGUCAAUAAAAGAUAAGACAAGUAUGUGUUCAGCAAACACACACAUAGCUUUGAGGUAUAUAAAUUAAGUUUAAUUAUAUAUAAAAAUAGAAAUAUAGUGUGAUAUAGCCUAAGUUAGCAAUCUAUAAAUAUAUAGAAACUAUAUACAUACAAAAAUGUAAUUAGCAUUGAGAUAAAUUAAGUUAGCUUAAAUAUCCUGAAAUUGCUUUAACACUUAGGUGAGCCAGGAAACAUUGGUUAAUUGGUAUGAGACCAA